CCCAAAGAGUAACGGAGGAGCACGAAGGUUAGCUAAUCACGGUCGGACAUCGUGAGGUUAGUGCAAAGGCAUAAGCUAGCUUGACUGCGAGAGUGACGGCUCGAGCAGGUACGAAAGUAGGUCUUAGUGAUCCGGUGGUUCUGAAUGGAAGGGCCAUCGCUCAACGGAUAAAAGGUACUCCGGGGAUAACAGGCUGAUACCGCCCAAGAGUUCAUAUCGACGGCGGUGUUUGGCACCUCGAUGUCGGCUCAUCACAUCCUGGGGCUGAAGUAGGUCCCAAGGGUAUGGCUGUUCGCCAUUUAAAGU
rnacentral:rRNA from 1 species